rnacentral:rRNA from 1 species
UGAACUUAAGCAUAUCAAUAAGCGGAGGAAAAGAAACUAACAAGGAUUCCCCCAGUAACGGCGAGUGAAGAGGGAACAGCCCAAAUUUGUAAUCUGGCCCUUUUGGGGUCCGAGUUGUAAUCUCGAGAACUGUUUUCCGUGCCGGACCAUGUACAAGUCUGUUGGAAUAUAGCUUCAUAGAGGGUGAGAAUCCCGUACAUGACAUGGACCGCCGGUGCUUUGCGAUACAGUCUCUAAGAGUCGAGUUGUUUGGGAAUGCAGCUCAAAUUGGGUGGUAAAUUCCAUCUAAGGCUAAAUAUUGGCGAGAGACCGAUAGCGAACAAGUACCGUGAGGGAAAGAUGAAAAGCACUUUGGAAAGAGAGUUAACAGUACGUGAAAUUGUUAAAAGGGAAACGCUUGAAGUCAGCCUUGUUCUUGGUUGUUCAGCCUUAGGGCGUAUUCAACUUUGAGCAGGCCAGCAUCAGUUUUGGGUGCCGGAUAAGGGCUUAGGAAAUGUGGCAGCUUAGGCUGUGUUAUAGUCCUUUGCUUGAUACGGUGCCUGGGACUGAGGAACGCAGCGAGCCUUUUGGCGGGUCCCCUCGGGGGCCUUCUCGCUUUGGAUGCUGGCGUAAUGGCUUUAAACGACCCGUCUUGAAACACGGACCAAGGAGUCUAACAUGCUUGCGAGUAUUUGGGUGGCAAACCCGGAUGCGUAAUGAAAGUGAAUGAAGGUGGGAACCGCAAGGUGCACCAUCGACCGGUCCGGAUUUUUAAUGAUGGAUCCGAGUAAGAGCAAGUACGUUGGGACCCGAAAGAUGGUGAACUAUGCCUGAAUAGGGUGAAGCCAGAGGAAACUCUGGUGGAGGCUCGUAGCGGUUC